CAGAGCGCUGACCUAAAGAUUAAUUGCUGGGCUGGACUGAAAGCUGGAUAAACGCUGCCUGGACUCUGGCGCUGCGUGCGCACCUUGAAAAGUGAGGAAACGUGGCUGGGCAGAAGCUCAGGCAGAUCUGCACCCCUCUGAGCUGCCAGGGAGAACGUCAUACUUCCCUCCAAAUGACCAUCAGGUUGCUUGACUGGGAGUCCAGGUUUCUGCCAGAAUGCAUUUGAGACUAAAAUCCCCUCCUGCUAUACUGUCUAGCGCUUUUCCUCUCGGACCAGUAACAUCUGCAUCCCCAGGGGGAAUGCAGAAGCUCAGGGCCUCAGCUAGAUUUGCUGAAUAGGAAUCUGCAUUCCAACAAAUCCCCGGGUGACUGGAGAGCGCUGGGUUUGCAUAGCACCGCUCAACACACCUCUCAGUUGCUUGAACCUCAGACGGGCUGCAGGGAGGAGCGAGGGGGCCCUGUGGGAAGCCUUGCCUGCAAUCAGCGGGGCUGGAAGCAGAAAUGGACCUGAGGCCAGGCCAGGCAGCUGGAGAGAGCACUGGAGCCACACACCUGGGUGGAGUCGUGUGUGGGGCCCCAAAGGGCCAAACCCCAGCUCUGUCCUCAAUGGGGGUCGGGCACAUGCCUUUGGUUUGGCCAAUUCAGCUCUCCUGGAAAUGGUCUCUGAUCCCUCUCUCUGGACUCCUAUUAGAUUCCCAAAGUUUCCUCCUCAACCUAAGAUGGCUUCGGGUGCUCCAGCCACUACAUCCAUAUUCCAGCGUAGGAGGAAGGAGAGGAGGAUGAAGAGGAAACAUCAACAGUCUUUAAAAGAAGAUUCCCAGAAGCUACCACGAAUUUUUUGCUUUACAUGCGAUCGGCCAGAACUUAGUCAUAUGACCACACUCAGCUGCAAGGAAGUCUGGGAGAUAUAGUCUUAUUCUAGGCAUCUACGUUCCAGAUAAAACUGUGGGCUCUCUGACUGUGAAGGAAGGGUAGAGCAGAUAUUGGGAGCCAUUGUCCCCACCUUAAAUUUCUCCAGGUGCAGGGCUAGCCAAAUAAGCCUCUCCCUUUGGCCUCUGCCCCUUGCCGCACAAGCCCAGUAUCAGUGACUCCACCUUGCGUCUGCUUCUCUGGCUCUACGGGCAAUUUUUGUUUAUCAGCCUCAACUUCUACCUCUGGGUCCCAAUUU
rnacentral:lncRNA from 1 species